AACUCACACCCACCAACGCCAGGGUAUUACAAGCCCUAGCUUAAAACCCAAAGGACUUGACGGUGUCCCAUCCACCUAGAGGAGCCUGUUCCAUAAUCGAUAAUCCCCGCUAUACCUAACCACCCCUCGCCAAUCAGUCUGUAUACCUCCGUCGUAAGCUUACCAUAUGAAUGCUUACAGUAAGUUUAAUGGCCACAAGCACCAAUACGUCAGGUCAAGGUGCAGCUUAUGAAGUGGCGGACAAUGGGCUACAAUUUCUAUACUAGAACAAACGAAAUGCUGCAUGAAACACAGCCACGAAGGCGGAUUUAGUAGUAAAAAGAAAAUAGUGUGUUCUUUUUAACUAGGCCCUGGGACGUGU
rnacentral:rRNA from 1 species